CUGCCAUCUGUGUUUGGAGACUGUGUCCCAGACUUUUGAGCUCACAUUAGUCAUGGCCACAGACGGGACUGGAGUCCUGCCCACUGGAGUCCCAAAGGUCUCUGGUGUUUGUUUUCCACUCUGCAUGCCUGGGUUGGGGGAUGGCAGGGGGAUACAGGUUGUUGGAGUACCUCCCAGCCGGGCCGUUUCCUUGGUUCCCUGGGGCUGCCUUGCUUCCUCUCUAGAUCAUCAGUCUCAGCAGAGGAAACCAAAAAUCUCCUCCUCGCCCCGCAACCACCUUUUGCUGACUGCUAAGCAUCCCUGCUCUGAAACCAUAACCACCAUAAAAGCAAUAGGCUUGUCUUCUCUGUUCUAAGCAUGUACUAUUCAGGUGAUUUAGGGGGAGUAAACAGGCCCAGAGAAAUUAAAUAAUUUGUCUAAGGGUACCGGCUAAUGAGGAUCUGAGCUCAGUUGUAAAUGACUCCAUCACCCAUGCUCUUUUUUAGUCCCCUUUAUAAUUAUUUUAAAAUAACAUUUAAUUAAUUUUCUGUUAUAAAAGGAACACAUGCUCAAACAAAAAACUUAGAAAAUAUAAAAAUGUAUGAAGACAAAACAAAAUAACCCCCAGUAUUAGCAAUGCCAACUUGCCAAGACAAAAAUGUUAACAUUUUUAUUUCUUUUUCUUUUCAGUCUUUACUCUCUGUGUGCACACACACACACAGGCAAAGUGAAAUCACAUUGUAUAUUCUUUUUUGCUUCUAGCAUUUUCCACUUAGCUAUCUAAUAUUACUAUUUCCUGAUAUCAAUAAAUGAUCUUCAAU
rnacentral:lncRNA from 1 species